CAGGAACCAGAUUCACCAUCCCACCUGAUACGAUAGGAAUACCAGAGAAAAUAGAUGAAACAGAUUUUUAAGACACUUGUGACCAGGCAUCUGAGAAACAAACAAGGAGGAAUCCAUAAGGUUGAUCUAGUAACCGGGUCUAUGGAGCCUUACUGAGAAUAGGACAUGCAGAUGUUGAAAAGAACAGCAGGCCUGACAGCAGCAGCACUGGCAUUAGCCGGAAGCCUGGCCUAAGGAAAAAGAUUCUGCUUCCUGUAAGUGAAGCAAAUGAUAUGUAAUGCUACGUCGGGACAUAAAUCAAGACAUCCAUGGCAAGAUACAAUGUGGGCUCUUCUGUAACGCGGCAGACCCGUAUCCAGCCAACUCGAAGUGCGCGUUUGCAAGCUCUUCAACGCUGACUCUGUGAAGGCUCAGGCGGAUUUAGGAACUCAUUUUCGUGCUUACCUCAAGCUGUGUUUUUCCGAAACCUGAAUUUUUUUCUUCUCCUAGUUCUCCCUUCUAAUAUUAGUUCUACAAAAUCACCCAAGAGGCAAACCUUACAUUUUUCUUUCUCUCCCACGCUACUCUCAUUCAGCUCUGAUUUCAUACUUCCGGGAGGAUGGACAAGGAGCCCUGUAGUGCAACCCUUAGGUGCUCAAAAGGUUGGUGGUCUGAACCCACCCAGGUGCUCCCCAGGAGAAAAGACCUCGCGAUCUGCUCCGGGAAAGAUUACAGCCUAGAAAGCCCUGUCACACGGGGUCGCUGUGAGUCGGAACUGACUGGAAGGCACCUAGCAACAACAGGAGAGUGCAGCCUCCUGACACGGCUCCUUGACAAUGCCUCUCACACAGCUGUCAGGUUAACCUGCAUCAACCUUACCUGCACAAACCUUCAUAAACGUCUCCUGCCUGAAAUUCAUAUUUAGGGCCUUCUAUUAUCUAACUUCAAGCUAAUUUCAACUGGAUAUCUCCUGUAACAAUUCUAUGCACUGAUCAAAUGAUUAAGAAUAAACCUAGCAGUUAAUUUCAGAAUUUUAAAUGCGUAAUAUUAUUGCUAUUGAGGCAAACAAAACUGAGUUAAAAGAACUACUCUUUCUCACAAUGCUUUCGAAGCAAUAUAAGCUCUCUUUUUGAAAAAAGCAAUGAUGAAACCUUAACUGUAGGUACACCUUUACAAAGGGAACCUGUGCUAAUGAACAGCAUGAAGCACGUUUCUUGGGUCUAGGAGUACUUACUUGGUUCUGACACUAAAUUAUAAAUCCCUGCUUCUUUAUUGACAAUAAAAACUAUAUAAAACAUAUACAACCCAAGGAUCCAAAAAACAACCUAUUGCCUAUAAAAUUAAAUCAGAACAAAGGUCUAAAUUGAAACGAAACUACCUACUACCAUCAGUACAGAUUUCCUAAUACCUUGUCCUACCUUUUUUCACUGAAUAGAGACAAGAACUCUCAUGCUGUCAAAUUAAUGUAUUCCCCAUUCCAACGUAAGCUUUUGGGUUUGUCAAAGAUUUAUGAAACGUCUAAACGGUUGAGAAGUUAAGCACCAGUGGCGUACGAGAUGAAUGACGAUUCACGUAUAGCACCUGUAUUACCUCAGAUGUACCUAACUUAAACUCUCUCAAGAUUGCUGCCUAAACCUCAGGUCUCUGGCUCUCAAAACUAUAAAAAGGCAGAAUCGUUUUUAGGUUUUGAGAUAGUCACCUUAACUUACUACCACCCUUCUGCUCAAGCUUAAAAUAGGCUUGGGUAAGAAAUAAAAAUUCUUCUGCAGUUAAAGCUGAGCUUGGCUUGUCUGCUCACAGUGCUCACCUAAAAACGCAGAGAAAUGAAAAACAGAAAUACGUGGAAGCGUAAGGAUACAUACGUAGUC